rnacentral:rRNA from 1 species
GUCAUAUGCUUGUCUCAAAGAUUAAGCCAUGCAUGUCUCAGUACAAGCCAAAUUAAGGUGAAACCGCGAAAGGCUCAUUAAAUCAGUUAUGGUUCCUUAGAUCGUACCCACAAUUACUUGGAUAACUGUGGUAAUUCUAGAGCUAAUACAUGCAAACAGAGCUCCGACCGGAGACGGAAGGAGUGCUUUUAUUAGAUCAAAACCAAUCGGUGGCGAGUUCGCUCGUCAUCGUACAACUUGGUGACUCUGAAUAACUUUACGCUGAUCGCACGGUCAUCGCACCGGCGACGCAUCUUUCAAAUGUCUGCCUUAUCAACUGUCGAUGGUAGGUUCUGCGCCUACCAUGGUUGUAACGGGUAACGGGGAAUCAGGGUUCGAUUCCGGAGAGGGAGCCUGAGAAACGGCUACCACAUCCAAGGAAGGCAGCAGGCGCGCAAAUUACCCACUCCCGGCACGGGGAGGUAGUGACGAAAAAUAACGAUACGGGACUCAUCCGAGGCCCCGUAAUCGGAAUGAGUACACUCUAAACCCUUUAACGAGGAUCAAUUGGAGGGCAAGUCUGGUGCCAGCAGCCGCGGUAAUUCCAGCUCCAAUAGCGUAUAUUAAAGUUGUUGCGGUUAAAAAGCUCGUAGUCGAAUUUGUGUCUCGCGCCGCCGGUUCAUCGUCCGCGGUGUUAACUGGCGAGUCGCGAGACGUCCUGCCGGUGGGCUUAGCUCGCGAGGGCGGCCCAACUCAAUCCUGCCGCGGUGCUCUUCAUUGAGUGUCGAGGUGGGCCGGCACGUUUACUUUGAACAAAUUAGAGUGCUUAAAGCAGGCUAAAACUUCGCCUGAAUAUUGUGUGCAUGGAAUAAUGGAAUAGGACCUCGGUUCUAUUUUGUUGGUUUUCGGAACCCCGAGGUAAUGAUUAAUAGGAACGGAUGGGGGCAUUCGUAUUGCGACGUUAGAGGUGAAAUUCUUGGAUCGUCGC